UAGGGAAUCUUCCACAAUGGGCGCAAGCCUGAUGGAGCAACGCCGCGUGUGUGAUGAAGGGUUUCGGCUCGUAAAACACUGUUGUAAGAGAAGAAUGACAUUGAGAGUAACUGUUCAAUGUGUGACGGUAUCUUACCAGAAAGGAACGGCUAAAUACGCGCCAG
rnacentral:rRNA from 1 species